rnacentral:lncRNA from 12 species
GGGGGGGGGGGGGCAAGGGGCAGGGUCUGGGGGAGCACGGGCAGCUGGAGCGGCCGUGUCCGUGCCCCGGGCGCAGCCGGUGUUCCAGCGGCCGGUGGUGGUGACGCUCGGAACGGCCCCGGGGCGAGGAGCCGCUCGGGCCCGCGGCCGCUCCCGGUUCCAGCCGCUGCCGGCCGUGCCGAGCCUCCCGGCCCCGUGCGGGACGCCCCGAUAUCGCGCCGGUUCCCGGAACGCGGCGCUCGCUGCGGUUUGUGUCACAGGCUCGGUGCAGGGCUCGCCGCUGGCAUCCUGAGGGAGCGGCUGCGGCAGGAAGCGUGGUUACUAUCACAGAGAAGCUGGAUUCCUGCAUGUAAUGGAAAACCAGAGUUACUGAGAGCAGCCAGCACCUGCCAAAAUCUGCUUCAGUGAGGAAUGGCCUGAGCUCACCAAAUGGAUGGUCAGAGCCUUCAAGCUGUUGGAUGUCCAAGCACUAAACUCAGCAGUCUUAAGGCUUGCAGCUGAAGGAACUGAAGGAACCCAGCAAAAGACUGCAUUGUGUGAGCAUCACAACA